CAAUAGCGUAUAUUAAAGUUGUUGCAGUUAAAAAGCUCGUAGUUGGAUUUCGGGAUGGCCCGGCCGGUCUGCCGCAAGGUAUGUUACUGGCCGAGCUGUUCUUCUUCGCAAAGACUGUGUGUGCUCUUAACUUAGUGUGCUCAGGAUCUGUGACGUUUACUUUGAAAAAAUUAGAGUGUUCAAAGCAAGCCAGCGCUUGAAUACAUAAGCAUGGAAUAAUGGAAUAGGACUUUGGUUCUAUUUUGUUGGUUUCUGGAACCUUAGUAAUGAUUAAGAGAGACAGUUGGGGGCAUUCGUAUUUCGUUGUCAGAGGUGAAAUUCUUGGAUUUACGAAAGACGAACUACUGCGAAAGCAUUUGCCAAGAAUGUUUUCAUUAA
rnacentral:rRNA from 1 species